rnacentral:rRNA from 1 species
UGGGGAAUAUUGCACAAUGGGGGAAACCCUGAUGCAGCGACGCCGCGUGAGCGAAGAAGGUUUUCGAAUCGUAAAGCUCUGUCCUAUGGGAAGAUAAUGACGGUACCAUAGUAGGAAGCCCCGGCUAACUACGUGCCAGCAGCCGCGGUAAUACGUAGGGGGCAAGCGUUGUCCGGAAUCACUGGGCGUAAAGGGUUCGCAGGCGGAAAUGCAAGUCAGUUGUGAAAGGCAGAGGCUCAACCUCUGUAAGCAAUUGAAACUGUAUUUCUUGAGAUGUGGAGAGGCAAGUGGAAUUCCUAGUGUAGCGGUGAAAUGCGUAGAUAUUAGGAAGAAUACCGGUGGCGAAGGCGACUUGCUGGACACAAACUGACGCUGAGGAACGAAAGCGUGGGUAGCAAACAGG